CCUGGUUGAUCCUGCCAGUAGCAUAUGCUUGUCUCAAAGAUUAAGCCAUGCAAGUCUAAGUAUAAGCACUUAUACUGUGAAACUGCGGAAAGCUCAUUAUAUCAGUUAUAGUUUAUUUGAUGGUACUUUACUACAUGGAUACCCGUAGUAAUUCUAGAGCUAAUACAUGCCCAGAAACUCCGACCUUUGGAAGGAGGGGACUUAUUAGAUAAAAAGCCAAUGCGCUUCGGCGGUAAUUGGUGAAUCAUAAUAAUUUUCAGAUCGCAUGGCUUUGCCGGCGAUAGGUCAUUCAAAUUUCUGCCCUAUCAGCUGUGAUGUUAGUGUAUUGGACUAACAUGGCUAAAACGGGUGACGGAGGAUUAGGGUCUGAUUCCGGAGAGGGAGCCUGAGAAAUGGCUACCACUUCUAAGGAAGGCAGCAGGCGCGUAAAUUACCCAAUCCCGACACGGGGAGGUAGUGACAAGAAAUACCGAUACUGGACUUUUUAAGUCUGGUAAUUGGAAUGAGGACAAUCCAAAACCAUUAUCGAGAAGCAAUUGGAGGGCAAGUCUGGUGCCAGCAGCCGCGGUAAUACCAGCUCCAAUAGCGUAUAUUAACGUUGCUGCAGUUAAAAGGCUCGUAGUCGAACCUAUGACUUGGAAUGUAUGGCCCAUUGCCUAGUGCAUUGGUUGCUAUGCAGUUCAGUCAUCCUUCUGGAGAGUGUCUCUGCCCUUUAUUGGGUGGUUUCAUAAUCCCGAUCAUUUACUGUGAGUAAAUCAGAGUGUUCAAAGCAGGCUUUUACGCUUGUAUGCAUUAGCAUGGAAUAAUAAGAUAGGACUUUGGUUCUAUUUUGUUGGCUUCUAGAACUAAAGUAAUGAUUGAAAGGGAUAGUUGGGGGUGCUAGUAUUCAGCGGCCAGAGGUGAAAUUCUCGGAUUCGCUGAAGACUAACUUAUGCGAAAGCAUUCACCAAGGAUGUCUUCUUUAAUCAAGAACGAAAGUUGGGGGAUCGAAGACGAUCAGAUACCGUCGUAGUCUCAACCAUAAACUUUGCCGACUAGGGAUGAGUGAACGUUGCAUUUUCGACUUCAUUCGCACCUUAUGAGAAAUCAAAGUCUUUGGGUUCCGGGGGGAGUAUGGUCGCAAGGCUGAAACUUAAAGGAAUUGACGGA
rnacentral:rRNA from 1 species